UUUCACAGGCACGAUGAGGGUUUCGACGGCACCUGCGCCACCAAUAUUGUGGUUUGGAAUAACGGCUCGUGUCUGUUGUGUCGCCUGGAAUUUUUAAGUCCACCUGCAAAAUCGACAUCACGUGGUUUCCAUUCGACGAUCAGCGUUGUGAAAUGAAAUUCGGCUCAUGGACAUACGAUAGCUUACAGCCAGACAACCGAGCUGAACAAUCUCUAUUGGAGGCCAACUACUUCUCUGAUCAGCUAUUAUUCACCUAAUAAGCAAUAAAGAGACUCUGAAUUAAUUGCAGAAAACAGUUUAAAUUCACAUCUGUUUGGGUCAGACUACCAUAGAGAUAUGGCGACCAAGCACUAAGGCAGAGAUUCACACAACGAGGUGUGCCCCAUGGGAAGACAAAAUUCAGGAAUUUGCAGUUACCGACAGGUCUUUAAUAAAGGAUUAGGUCGCACUGGUAAUUGGGUGUUUGCGGAUAAGAUUUAGCAUUUUGCUCUGAGAAUCUUAAUACCUCCCGAAGAGGAAAAGCAGACAUCAAUGAAAAUUGAAUUGAAAAUGUUAUUUAUUGUAUUAAUUAUAUAUCAAGCAUAUAUAUGUGUUAAGUCAAGUGAAAUACAAUAAUA